rnacentral:rRNA from 1 species
GACGAACCGAGCGAACGUUGUUCGGAAUCACUGGGCUUAAAGGGCGCGUAGGCGGCUCGAAAAGUCAGGGGUGAAAUCCGGCAGCUUAACUGUCGCAGUGCCUUUGAUACUGUCGAGCUCGAGGGAGGUAGGGGUCUGUGGAACUUCCGGUGGAGCGGUGAAAUGCGUUGAUAUCGGAAGGAACGCCGGUGGCGAAAGCGACGGACUGGAUCUCUUCUGACGCUGAGGCGCGAAAGCCAGGGGAGCAAACGGG